UACGAAGGGUGCAAGCGUUACUCGGAAUUACUGGGCGUAAAGCGUGCGUAGGUGGUGAGUUAAGUCUGUCGUGAAAGCCCCGGGCUCAACCUGGGAAUGGCGAUGGAAACUGGCUCGCUAGAGUGCGGUAGAGGAGAGUGGAAUUCCCGGUGUAGCAGUGAAAUGCGUAGAGAUCGGGAGGAACAUCAGUUGCGAAGGCGGCUCUCUGGACCAGCACUGACACUGAGGCACGAAAGCGUGGGGAGCAAACAGG
rnacentral:rRNA from 1 species